AUAUUUUUCAGCAGCAGGAAUUGGGAGACUAGUCAGGAUUGAGGGAAAGAUGAAUACAGCAAUGUACAGAGACAUCCUGGAUGAAAACCUGCUCCAGAGUGCUCUUGACCUCAGAAUGGGGGGACGGUUCAUUUUUCAGUAGAACAAUUUCCCUAAGUACACAGCCAUGAUAUCAAAGGAACAGCUACAGGACAACUCUGUGAAUGUCCUUGAGUCAGCGCUGUGAACU